UUACAACUUUCAGCAACGGAUCUCUUGGCUCUCGCAUCGAUGAAGAACGCAGCGAAAUGCGAUAAGUAAUGUGAAUUGCAGAAUUCAGUGAAUCAUCGAAUCUUUGAACGCACCUUGCGCUCCUUGGUAUUCCGAGGAGCAUGCCUGUUUGAGUGUCAUU
rnacentral:rRNA from 6 species